rnacentral:rRNA from 1 species
UACCUGCAGCUCAAGUGGUGACCGCUAUUAUUGGGCCUAAAACGUUCGUAGCCUGCUGAGUAAAUGCUUGGGUAAAUUGUGCCGCUUAACGGUACAAAUUCCGGGUAGACUACUCAGCUUGAGACCGGGAGAAGCUAGAGGUACUCCUGGGGUAGAGGUGAAAUUCUGUAAUCCUGGGGGGACCACCAGUGGCGAAGGCGUCUAGCUAGAACGGGUCUGACGGUGAGGAACGAAACCCUGGGGCGCAAACCGGAUUAGAUACCCCCGUA